rnacentral:lncRNA from 1 species
GUCCCAACGGUAACUGCCGCGACCCAUGCGCCCCGGUCGCUCGGUGACCCCAAUGUCAGUCAGACGCCUCCGUUCCCACAGCCGCCGUGACGUGCUGAAGAGUUCUGAAUCCACUCCGGAUCCUUCUCAGCAGUCUGUUUUGCAGGAACACUUCAUUACCACCGUUCCCCAGCUGAAGAGUUCUGAAUCCACGCCGGAUCCUUCUCAGCAGUCUGUUUUGCGGGAACCUUUAUUAACUGCUCCUUCCCCGUGAUGCAGUUCUGAAUCCUCCCUGUAGCAGGGGGUCUUCGCUCGUGCCUGAAGACGUUUCUUGUCCCGGGUUUUCGGCACCACUUCUUGCGCGCGCUCAACUGGCCAGGAAGAACGACGCUGCAACAGGAUCCUUCUGCACACGUUUAUUGGGAGAGCUUGAUUGUAGAGGCGAAAAGACUUCGAGCCCAGAACUGGUGCUGCUUUUAUAGGCCUAGGAGGGGCGUGUCUCACACCCGGAUUGGUUAUGCACUAAGCCUCAUUUGCAUGUUCCUCAUCUGAUUGGCUACUCUCAGUACCUUACAGAACCUCAUUAUCAUACCUCAUUUGCAUGUCUCACAUCUGAUUGGUUAUACUCUCAGUACCUUACAGAACCUCAUUAUCAUACCUGGGCCAGGCAGUGUCUUUGCAAAAAACUUUACUGCAUAUGUACACAUUGGUUGUUUGUCCAAUCUUAUGCGUGGUGGCCAGCAGUAGUCAGUGCCACUCAGCAACGGCACAUGUGGCUUCCCACAUCUUACUGAUGCUCAGGCACCAAGAGAAGAGGGUUAGCAUCUCCCUUACCAUAUCACUGCUGCAUGCACUUUUAGUAUCCUUGUUCCUGCAUCUUAUUUCUCUUAAAAUGUAUGUUUAAUGACAGCAUACUGCUGCUUUUCUGUGGCUCUCUGUCUUUGUAGGACCUGUCUGUCUGUCUGUCUGUUUGUCUGUGUCUAUUCAUCUAUCACUUUUCUGAGAACCCUCCCCAGGCCCACAGCCCACUCUGGGACCAACUGUACAUUUUUUAACACAGUUCUAUUUUUGUAAUCUUUCCCAUUUUACUCUACUAUUAAAUAUAGCUAGACAUCUCCCAUCUCUUUUGAUUAUUGUUAUCCAAAAUUCACCAAUUUAUUUCUUGGAAAUUCCAUCAGACUAUGCUUGCAUAUCAUGCAUCAUCUUUGGAACAACUAAUCUCUAUUUUUUGAUGAAUAAAUUCAAGUGAGUAAUAAUUUCUUAUUUAGGAUUGUGUUACCCACAAUGGAAAUAAUCUGUCUUUUUCUGAGAUUUAUGGCUUGGCGCUAAUAAGUAAAUAAGAGUGCAAAAUG